rnacentral:precursor_RNA from 9 species
UUUGCAGAGCAGAAUUGAGAGCCUCUCUCUCUUGGCACUGGCGGAAUGAUCACGUGAAACUCCAUAGUGAUUUUUCCCUGGUGCCAACCGAGGUGGGUUCUACUAACAGCAUGCCACAUC